UCUCUAUUCUGUGUUUCAGGGGCUGAAUGCCUCUCAAAACCAUGUCGACAGCUUUUUGAUGACGAAUCAUUGCAAAUUAAUGGGUAGCAGCAGUUAUGCUUUUUGGGUUGAGUUAAUCUUCUGUAUGUCUCUAUUCUGUGACCGGAUGGCAACAUUAAUGACAUUGCCCACCACAAAUGCCCUGUUAGGUGGUCAACUUAUUAGCAUAUAUCAAUGGCCAUAAGCAUACAAUGGCCAAAAACAUGCAAGAAAUUGGUUAAUAGUGAGAAAAAAGUUUAGGUCAUUUGAAACAACUACAGAAGUUUACCAUGGAAAAAAUGUUUUGAUAAGUUGGGCAAAAUACAAAAAAGUUGGGCAAAUUUCUUUCUGCCCUGCUAAUUUUUACCUUCCUGUAUGCUUAUGUCAAUGAAUAUGUUG